GUCUGCCUGUAUUGGCUAACUAGUGAUUGAUUUAAUUUUAAACAUAGAGAUGUAGAUUGAAAUUAACAAGUACAAGAAUAAGGAUCAAACCAAAGAGGAGAGCAUGAACCAAUACAGAAAUCCAACUGGUCUUCAUGUUCAUGAAAUCGACAGGCCUAUGCUUUCCUGGCAUUUGAAAUAUAAGUCCUGGACACAGAAAUCCAAAUAGCGCUGUUGC
rnacentral:misc_RNA from 1 species